GACGAACGCUGGCGGCGUGCUUAACACAUGCAAGUCGAACGCUGAAGCUCAGCUUUUGUUGGGUGGAUGAGUGGCGAACGGGUGAGUAACACGUGAGUAACCUGCCCCCUUCUUUGGGAUAACGCCCGGAAACGGGUGCUAAUACUGGAUAUUCACUGGUCUUCGCAUGGGGGUUGGUGGAAAGGGCUUUUCUGGUGGGGGAUGGGCUCGCGGCCUAUCAGCUUGUUGGUGGGGUGGUGGCCUACCAAGGCUUUGACGGGUAGCCGGCCUGAGAGGGUGACCGGUCACAUUGGGACUGAGAUACGGCCCAGACUCCUACGGGAGGCAGCAGUGGGGAAUAUUGCACAAUGGGCGCAAGCCUGAUGCAGCGACGCCGCGUGAGGGAUGGAGGCCUUCGGGUUGUGAACCUCUUUCGCUCAUGGUCAAGCCGCAACAAUGGUUGUGGUGAGGGUAGUGGGUAAAGAAGCGCCGGCUAACUACGUG
rnacentral:rRNA from 1 species